ensembl:snRNA U6 U6 spliceosomal RNA
GUGCUCACUUUGGCAGCACACAUACUAAAAUUGGAAUGAUACAGGUAGCAGUAGCAUGGCCCCAGUGCAAGGAUGCUAUGCAAGUUUCUGAAACAUUCCUAGCAAGA